GGCUGCACCGGCGAAAAACCAAGCGCGCCGCCUCCCACUCCCGGCCGUCCCUCCUCCUCCUCGCCUUCGUCCUCAGCUCCUGGUAGCCUUCACCGCCAUCGUCAUCGACAGUUCCCUCCUCGGGGCCCCUUCUCUGUCGAGCACCACGAGCCCGUCGCUCUAGGGUUUCCGAUCCCUAGCGGCAACGGCGACUGUUUCAGCUAACAGCACCGCAGGUCACGAGAAGGAUGAGCACGGGCCGCCGCCGCACUGUACGGGAGUGCUGGCUCCAGGUCACAGGCACUCCUCCUUUAGGCACUCCUCUUUCAGAUUCUUCCUACUCUAGGUUGUCAAGGAAGAGAUUGUCAGUUGAUGGAUACUACGUUACCAGAUGAGAUGCAUAUAGGAAAGCAGCACAAAGUCUGAAUUCGAAAAAGGGGUUUGCUGUGACUAUCUUCAGUAAACCAGUUGUAAAUGGAAUAGCACCAACAAUCUCGGCUCCUCCAUCGUGUCCAUGAGCGCCUGCCACAAUGCUCCACUAUGAGUCUGCGGCCACAUCUCUGUAUUUGCGCCGACAGUCGGUGCCAUCCUUUAGUUGUAUCACUACUAUCACGUUGCAAAUAUGUUAUCCUGCCACAAGAGGAUGUUAAGUUCACGGUUGUCCUGGCCUCUACGUUUCAAUAGAUCCUUUCCAGGUUGGCAUGCCUUACUCCCUUCCCUAUGACCACUGGCCCGUCAUCUUGGGGAUGCCGCCGUCCUUUCUCAGUUGGUUGGGAUGGACGUUAUGAGAUUUGCGUUGUUUGAGGUAGGUUUUGUCAAUUUGGCGAAUUUUGUGAUGUCUCACAUCUUUCCCUUUACCCAUUUGAUUACCUUUUCUGUACUCUUGUGUCUGGUAUAGGAG